GGAGCUGUGGCUCAGUGGUAGAGCAUUUUCUUGGCAAGCAAAAGGUCCCAGGUUCAAUCCCUGGCAGCUCCA